rnacentral:rRNA from 1 species
CGCGUGGAAACGUGCCUUUCACUACGGAAUAGCUUUUUGGAAACGAAAGGUAAUACCGUAUACGCCCUCCGGGGGAAAGAUUUAUCGGUGAAAGAUCGGUCCGCGUUAGAUUAGCUAGUUGGUGAGGUAACGGCUCACCAAGGCUACGAAUCUAUAGCUGGUCUGAGAGGAUGAUCAGCCACACUGGAACUGAGACACGGUCCAGACUCCUUACGGGAGGCGAGCAGUGGGGAACUAUUGCACAAUGGGCGCAAACCCCGGAUGCAGCCAUGCCGCGUGAAUGAUGAAGGCCUUAGGGUU